AGGGUUUGAUUCUGGCUCAGGACAAACGCUGGCGGCAUGCCUAACACAUGCAAGUCGAACGGACGGAGGCUUGAGAUCUCUUCGGAGUGACCGAGCCCGAGUUAGUGGCGGAUGGGGGAGUAACGCGUGGGGAACCUACCUUUUAGUGGGGAAUAAUCGUUGGAAACGACGACUAAUACCGCAUACAGUGUCUGGAUCGCAUGAUCCGGAUAAAAAAGACGGCCUUUGUGCUGUCGCUAAGAGAUGGACCCGCGUCUGAUUAGCUAGUUGGUAAGGUAACGGCUUACCAAGGCGACGAUCAGUAGCCGGCCUGAGAGGGUGAACGGCCACAUUGGGACUGAGACACGGCCCAA
rnacentral:rRNA from 1 species